GUCGAGAAUCAUUCGCAAUGGGCGAAAGCCUGACGGUGCGACGCCGCGUGGAGGAUAAGGUCUUCGGAUUGUAAACUCCUGUCAUGCGUGAACAAGGUUGCUUGGUUAAUACCUGGGCAAAUUGAUGGUAACGCAAGAGGAAGAGACGGCUAACUCUGUGCCAGCAGCCGCGGUAAUACAGAGGUCUCAAGCGUUGUUCGGAAUCACUGGGCGUAAAGGGUGCGUAGGUGGCGUGGUAAGUCAGAUGUGAAAGCCCGGGGCUCAACCUCGGAACUGCAUCCGAUACUGCCAUGCUAGAGUACUGGAGAGGUGACUAGAAUUCUCGGUGUAGCAGUGAAAUGCGUAGAUAUCGAGAGGAAUACCAAAGGCGUAGGCAGGUCACUGGACAGUUACUGACACUGAGGCACGAAGGCCAGGGGAGCGAACGGGAUUAGAAACCCUUGUAGUCC
rnacentral:rRNA from 1 species